rnacentral:rRNA from 1 species
UACGUAGGGCGCAAGCGUUAUCCGGAAUGAUUGGGCGUAAAGCGUCCGCAGGUGGCAGUUCAAGUCUGCUGUCAAAGACCGGGGCUUAACUUCGGAAAGGCAGUGGAAACUGAACAGCUAGAGUAUGGUAGGGGCAGAGGGAAUUCCUGGUGUAGCGGUGAAAUGCGUAGAGAUCAGGAAGAACAUCGGUGGCGAAGGCGCUCUGCUGGACCAUAACUGACACUCAGGGACGAAAGCUAGGGGAGCGAAUGGG